GGGCUUAGGGACUAAAUUGAAUAAAAAUAAAACUUUAGGGCAAUUUUACAAAAUGUCAAAAUAACCAAAUUGCCUGAAAUGAAUUGUUUUAUUGUCUAAAUUAAUAUAUGGAAUGAAAUUAUUAAUUUAGAUUAAGGUCGAGUGGAAAAUUGAAGAAAAUGGAAAAUUACCAAAAUGCCCAUGAAUCUUGGUAUUUCUGCAAUUUAACUAGGUAAGUUCGUAUGAACUAUAUUCUGUAUAAUUUUGAUUAAAGUGAAUGUUAAUUGGUGAUUGGUAUUAUAUAUAUAUUCUAUUGUUGGAAUUGAAUUAUUAUUGGAAAUAUAUUAUCGAAUUUAAUACUCAGUUUGGAUUGAAUGCGGGAUUUGAGUACAUUCGUAAAUUGGAGGGAGACAUCGGCAUAUUACCCAAGUAAACCAGCAUUCAGCAUUUGUUGCGAACUCUCAUGUUUUACUUUAUAUUUGGAGCAAUUUGGGUGGAUCAGCUCUCACGAGCUUCUGUUGGCGUGUUAGGGAGGACCAACUCUUAUGAGCUUCUGUUAACGAUGUGCUCUUAUCCAUUAUCGGAAGCUCGAUUGGGUUGGAAGCUUGUCGGAGUUAUAUCACACUAUCCAUCAGUUCUAUCGGGACUAAAUUUGAGGCAAAAGCAAAAUUAAUGGCCAAAAGCGUGAAUUUAGAGAUAAAAUGGGCCAAUGUGCGACACAAGGAAAAGUCGGUGCCAAAAGUACAAGCAUGGAGGAAACAAGGGUUGAAAUGCAAAAAGAAGAGAUUUUAUUCUAUCAGACUCUAUUUUAAUUAUAUUAGGAUAAUUAAUAUUAAGAUAAUUAUUAAGUAUUAUUUAAUUUUAGGAUUUUAUUUAAUUUUAUUUAAUUUUAUUUAUCUUCAAUUAAAUGUAUUUAUCUUUUGAGAGUUUAAGUAGGAUUAGACUAUCU